rnacentral:lncRNA from 1 species
GGCGGAGGCGGGGUAUGUCCUGCCGAGCCCGGUGGGGGUCUUGAAGGUGAUCUUGGAGGGGUCGUCCUUGUCGAGGAACAUGUCGGAGAGGGUGACCCAGAUGAGGAGCUCCUUGGUCUUGACCCCCGUCAUGCGCUUCAUCCGUCGGUCCUCGACGAAGGCGGUGACCUCGGACGCGUACGAGACCUGGCGCCCGAUCUGCUUGAAGGUGUGGGUGAGGGCCUUCUUCUGGCGGAGCCAGACGAAGCCCGUGGACCGGUUGUAGCCGACCUCCUCCAUGUCGGCGAGCGGGAGCAGGCCCAGCGGGAGGUGCACCUCCGAGAGCAGCUCCGUGGAUUUCUCCGCGCACAGCGCCGC